GACGAACGCUGGCGGCGUGCUUAACACAUGCAAGUCGAACGGAAAGGCCCUGCUUUUGUGGGGUGCUCGAGUGGCGAACGGGUGAGUAACACGUGAGUAACCUGCCCUUGACAUUGGGAUAACUUCAGGAAACUGGGGCUAAUACCGGAUAGGAGCUCCUGCUGCAUGGUGGGGGUUGGAAAGUUUCGGCGGUUGGGGAUGGACUCGCGGCUUAUCAGCUUGUUGGUGGGGUAGUGGCUUACCAAGGCUUUGACGGGUAGCCGGCCUGAGAGGGUGACCGGCCACAUUGGGACUGAGAUACGGACCAGACUCCUACGGGGGGCAGCAGUGGGGAAUAUUGCACAAUGGGCGGAAGCCUGAUGCAGCAACGCCGCGUGCGGGAUGACGGCCUUCGGGUUGUAAACCGCUUUCGCCUGUGACGAAGCGUGAGUGACGGUAAUGGGUAAAGAAGCACCGGCUAACUACGUG
rnacentral:rRNA from 1 species